CCUACGGGGGGCAGCAGUGGGGAAUAUUGGACAAUGGGGGGAACCCUGAUCCAGCCAUGCCGCGUGUGUGAAGAAGGCCCUCGGGUUGUAAAGCACUUUCAGUGAGGAAGAACGCCUGGUGGUUAAUACCCAUCAGGAAAGACAUCACUCACAGAAGAAGCACCGGCUAACUCAGUGCCAGCAGCCGCGGUAAUACGGAGGGUGCGAGCGUUAAUCGGAAUUACUGGGCGUAAAGCGCGCGUAGGUGGCUUGAUAAGCCGGUUGUGAAAGCCCCGGGCUCAACCUGGGAACGGCAUCCGGAACUGUCAAGCUAGAGUGCAGGAGAGGAAGGUAGAAUUCCCGGUGUAGCGGUGAAAUGCGUAGAGAUCGGGAGGAAUACCAGUGGCGAAGGCGGCCUUCUGGACUGACACUGACACUGAGGUGCGAAAGCGUGGGUAGCAAACAGGAUUAGAUACCCUUGUAGUC
rnacentral:rRNA from 1 species